AUUUGAAGUAAAUACACAGUAAAAAUUUAGAGAUUUGAAAGACACAGGUAUGAUGCAUGGGCACCUGCUUGAUCUUUGUCUGGUUUAUUCCAGGGAGCAAGAGGCAAUAAAGGAAGUUGAACACUGAGGAAGUGUUUCAAACUGUGUUGUUUUCCCUGCUAUAUCAAACAUUCAGUGGGCACACCCCCAACACUGUUCUCCAUGUCCAAAAAAAGAGCGUUUUUGGAUGAGUAGCUCUCGUGAACCAAAAAAUUAAACCAAUGAUCCAGAACCAGCUUCAUAAGACAGGGAAAGCAGUAGAUCUGUGUGCUCCAAUCUGGUGCAAAAGAGAAAAGAGCUUCCUACCUCUCAAAAUUACGAUAAAGGCUGGAAGUGAGGCCGGGAAGAGGACCUGUGAUGAAAUCUUACCUUUUGUAAAUACUUUCACAUGAAUGGUGAGGUAGGAAUAUGGUAAGUCAGAGAAUCUUUAUUAAAGGGUUCUUGUUAUAUACACAGAAAGGCGACUGAAAAGUACAUUCACAUAUUUCAGUUUGUCUGUGUUGGAAUACUAAGUGGAGUAUAACAGCAACUAGGCAUUUAUCAGCUUGCACUUGGGGCUUCAGAGUAGUCCAAAUCUGUUCUUGAAAUAGUCAAAAUGUUUAUGUGAAACUAUGCAGAAAAUUACACUAAUAAAUUUAUAUGUAAACUUUAAAUAAAAUGUUCUGAUUGAGUAAUCUCUAAAUGCCAACCAAUUCUACCUCAGCCUUGGCAGAGUG
rnacentral:lncRNA from 1 species